rnacentral:rRNA from 1 species
AAGCGGCAACAGCUCAAAUUUGAAAUCUGGCGUAAGCCCGAGUUGUAAUUUGUAGAGGAUGCUUCUGGGUAGCGGCCGGUCUAAGUUCCUUGGAACAGGACGUCAUAGAGGGUGAGAAUCCCGUAUGUGACUGGCUUGCACCCUCCACGUAGCUCCUUCGACGAGUCGAGUUGUUUGGGAAUGCAGCUCUAAAUGGGAGGUAAAUUUCUUCUAAAGCUAAAUACCGGCCAGAGACCGAUAGCGCACAAGUAGAGUGAUCGAAAGAUGAAAAGCACUUUGGAAAGAGAGUUAAAAAGCACGUGAAAUUGUUGAAAGGGAAGCGCCCGCAACCAGACUUUGCGGCGGUGUUCGGCUGGUCUUCUGACCGGUUUACUCGCCGCCGUGAGGCCAUCAUCGUCUGGGACCGCUGGAUAAGACCUGAGGAAUGUAGCUCCCUUCGGGGUGUGUUAUAGCCUCUGGUGAUGCAGCGCGUCUCGGGCGAGGUCCGCGCUUCGGCAAGGAUGAUGGCGUAAUGGUUGUCGGCGGCCCGUCUUGAAACACGGACCAAGGAGUCUAACAUCUAUGCGAGUGUUCGGGUGUCAAACCCCUACGCGUAAUGAAAGUGAACGGAGGUGGGAACUUUUUGUGCACCAUCGACCGAUCCUGAUGUCCUCGGAUGGAUUUGAGUAAGAGCAUAGCUGUUGGGACCCGAAAGAUGGUGAACUAUGCCUGAAUAGGGUGAAGCCAGAGGAAACUCUGGUGGAGGCUCGCAGCGGUUCUGACGUGCAAAUCGA